rnacentral:rRNA from 1 species
GACGUAGGGCGCGAGCGUUGUCCGGAUUUAUUGGGCGUAAAGAGCUCGUAGGCGGCUUGUCGCGUCGUCCGUGAAAACCUGCGGCUCAACUGCAGGCUGGCGGUCGAUACGGGCGAGGCUGGGAGUUCGGUAGGGAGACGUGGAAUUCCUGGUGUAGCGGUGAAAUGCGCAGAUAUCAGGAGGAACACCGGUGGCGAAGGCGGGU